rnacentral:hammerhead_ribozyme from 1 species
GCGCUACUGAGGAGUGGCAGACUAAGACGAAACGGUCGUCCAGUGU